rnacentral:rRNA from 1 species
GGGAGAAGUCUUGGUCAUUUAGAGGAAGUAAAAGUCGUAACAAGGUCUCCGUUGGUGAACCAGCGGAGGGAUCAUUGCCGAGUUUAAUACACUCAAACCCAUCGCGGACCCGAAACUGUUGCUUCGGCGGGCUGCCUGCCCGGCGGGCGCCCGCCAGAGGUUUAAGCUCUUUGGCUCUUGGACUCUAGUCAUCUGAAUUACGCUUCUAAACUAGUCAAAACUUUCAACAACGGAUCUCUUGGUUCUGGCAUCGAUGAAGAACGCAGCGAAAUGCGAAAAGUAAUGUGAAUUGCAGAAUUUAGUGAAUCAUCGAAUCUUUGAACGCAUAUUGCGCCCGCCAGCACUCUGGCAGGCAUGCCUGUUCGAGCGUCAUUUCAACACUCAGGUCUCAGUCACCUGGCGUUGGGGCGCUGCGGCCUAACCCGCAGGCCCCCAAAUCUAGCGGCGGAUCCGCCGCGGCCCUGAGCGCAGUAACAUUACCGGUUGCCAUUGCCAUACAUUUAAAACGCUCCGGCGGCCGUGGCGCCUCUCGCCCAAGAGCACCACCCGUAAAGUGUAGAAACAAAAGUUGACCUCGGAUCAGGUAGGACUACCCGCUGAACUUAAGCAUAUCA